rnacentral:lncRNA from 1 species
UACAAGGUUGGCUAGGGCUUUCAACCCUAGCCUCAACAAAAUCAAUACUCACUCAUAACACGAUAUACAAAUUCCAACAUCAUAAAAUACAUCUAAACAAAGAGCAAGGGAGUUAGAAGUGACUAUUGAUAGAAAUUGUCAAGACCCACCCCGGAUUUCCUCUUGAAAUCCGAGACACUACAAAAAUUAAUUCAGUUAACCACGGCAAAAUGCCGUCGCCAAAAGUCAUUCUGUCGUCGCAAAAGACCAACGACGACAGCGUGGCGACGACAUUUUUCCGGUCGCCGUUGAGGGCGUGGCCGUUGCUUUUGGCGACGGCAGUGAGCCGUCACAACCAUGUUUGCGAAGGUAAAUAGCGACUGUAAAGACCGUCGCUUGAUUAGCGACGGAAAUUGGCUACUGAACUUGCCGUCGCAAAUACCUCUAUUGGGCCGUCGCUGUGAUAUUUAAAAAAAUUCAGAUCUGAACUGAAAUUUUUGAAUUUUCCCACCAAAACCAUUUGCGACAGGACUCUGCCGUCGCCAACUGCAGAAAUUGUUACCACAACUAUUUCAAAUCUCAUUUUUACCAGAAAUCUGCAAAUUCAAAUCUCAUUCAAUCCACAAUAGCAACAACCAUAAUCAACAAGGUACUAACACCACCAUCAACGAGCAUUCAUUCCAACAAAAUUAACACAAUGACCAACAUUCAUUUCAUAACCAAAUUAUCCAACAUAAACAUUAUUCCACAUGAUGGAACCUAAACCAAACCAACAAAGUGCUACAACAAUAAAAAGAGCUUCAUAAAGGGACAACAAUAUUCCAACAUAAUCUUGUUCUAACACAUUCUAAAACACAACAAUAUGACAUAAACCUAAAUCAUGCAGGAGGAUCAUGGUGACCAGUGACAUCAUCAGAAGUUGAAUCAAAAUGGGUAGUGGCCUCAGGAUCUCCCUCUCCUAUGGACUCCCUCCUAGCCUCAUGGCCACUUGUUGCAUCAGCUGGUACCUAUUGCAUAAAUGAGACCAUUUUCUACAAUUAGUUGUCUGAUUUGAAGUGAAAGGUGAAAACAAAAACCUAUUGCAUGCUCAAGCAUUGACCCUAAUGCUUAAAACCAUAUCUAGAUUCAAGCACCUUCACCCUAAUUCAUACUAAACCAUACUUCAAAAAUAUUCAUAAUAAAAAAAAAGGGCAAUUUCCAUUACUUAUCAUGUUUGUUCUGUAUAGUACCAUUUCCCCACACACAUGAAGAAACUAAGGGGAUUAAUAUUUCACAUACUAUGUGCUAAGUGAAAAAUGUUGUAGACUAACACUAACACAUGUGAACUUACAGAUACAUGUAUUUGAAUAAUCGAGCUGCAAUAGGAGGGGAACAUAGACUUGACAAUGACCUUAUUAUGAGAAUAGAGAGAAAGCGAGCAAGCCUGUGAAUCUAAGGGGUCAGCUUCACGUGAAACAAGAUGUUGCAGACUAACAAUAACAUUGGAAGCAGCCAAGAUAGGAUCUAUUGUGUGCUGUGGAAUUGCAGCACGACCCCCCUUCCCACUUAUCAAGGCUUCAAAAAAUCCACUUGCAGCCAUUAUAGGGCCAGGUUUGGAGGCUACUGAACCAAUGGGAUGGUCAGAAGCAAGAUGCAACCCAAAGAUGGCACUGACAUGCUCCAGUGCCCCGUCUUCUAUUAUUUUCUUUGCUCCUACACCUCCUUCCUCAGCUAGUUGGAAAACAAGAACAACAGUCCCCUGUAUGAAAACAAGAAACAAGUGAGAGAACUUUCUUCAGAACAUAAGAAGAUAUACACAAUGACAUUGCACAAAGUGUCAUACUUAUUAUUCAAGAAGCCUACUUAGAGAAUGCACACACUUUGCAAUCUAUAGAUUAAGCUAGUGUAUCAACUCUUAUAGCUGGCCACAUCAAAAUGUAGUUCCAAUAUGGACUCCAAAACUCUGCAAAUUUCAGUAUGAAAGGUCAUUUUCUAUCGCUCUUUGUCUUUUUUAUUAGUUAAAGGUUGUUUGCAGUCAGAUAGAUGACAUAACAAGUCGACAUAUAAUUCUAGUAGACAGCUAGACCAAGAGCCUAUUGUAGACAACCCCAAGGCAUAAUAAUCUCCCUAACCUCACCUCCACGCUCAUACGCUGGAACUUUCCAAAUCUGACCAUAUAUAGUUUUAAAUAUUUACAUUUUAGCCUUGAUGUUCUGUUUAAAGACAACUACUUUCAAACCUACAAUUGCUAUAUAAAGUAACAGAAGUCCAUAAGAACAGGAACUGAUGCAACACAUGGAAUAACAAACCUAAAAACCCAACUUUACAAUGAAACCACUCUUCUAAACACAAUGCAUAGAAUUCAAACCAGGAAAGAGACCUAUAAUUUGUGGCGAUACUCUUGAAGUAAACUAGCAGCUCCAAGAAGCAUGGCAACAUGACCAUCAUGUCCACAUCCAUGCAUCUUCCCUACAACUUUACUCUUGUGCUCCCCCACUCCACACUCUCCUGCCAUAGUAAAAAUAAUACAGUAAUUAUUCCAAUCUACCUCAACCUCAAACCAAUAGUAACUAACAACAUUACAACACUGACCAAAUUGACAAAAGUAAGCACUAUAAAAAGAUAUCAGAUACUCAAAAAGCUUCAAACUUUAACAUAAUUUUUUUCACAGAAUACCCAGUUGGCCUUAUAGCAUAUGGAUGAACCAGUGAGGAUGAAAAAUUUAGGUGUAAAGCACUGAUAAGCACAUCUAUUCACAAAUGUAGAUAAUUGCAUGAAGCCAAUGUGAGGUUCUAGUGUUCAACUACCUUACCAGUUUUGCGAAAUUACCCGCUGUUAAUGGUGCUGAAUAACUAUCUAUAACAACCUGUACACAUUUUACUGAUCAGUUUUGGACAUUAAAUAUUUUCAAAGUAAAUUUGGGUGCCAUGCAUACAUUUUACAUUUGGAAAUAUCAAAUUUUUGUGUGAAAGAGAGAGAGAGAGAGAGAGNNNNNNNNNNNNNNNNNNNNGCCGUUGCAAAUACCUCUAUUGGCGACCGCAAUCGCCGUCGCUGUGAUAUUUAAAAAUUCAGAUCUGAAACUGUAAAUUUUUGAAUUUCCCACCAAAAUCAUUUGUGACGGGACUCUGCCAUCGCCAACUGCAGAAAUUGUUACCACAACUGUUUCAAAUCUCAUUUUUACCAGAAACCUGCAAAUUCAAAUCUCAUUUAAUCCACAAUAGCAACAACCAUAAUCAACAAGGUACUAACACCACCAUCAACUAGCAUUCAUUCCAACAAAAUCAACACAAUGACCAAAAUUCAUUUCAUAACCAAAUUAUCCAACAUAAACAUUAUUCCACAUGAUGGAACCUAAACCAAACCAAC